rnacentral:misc_RNA from 1 species
GAUGAAGAACGUAGCGAAAUGCGAUAAGUAAUGUGAAUUGCAGAAUUCAGUGAAUCAUCGAAUCUUUGAACGCACAUUGCGCCCGCUAGUAUUCUGGCGGGCAUGCCUGUCCGAGCGUCAUUUCAACCCUCAAGCCCCCGGGCUUGGUGUUGGGGAUCGGCGAGCCUCCGCGCCCGCCGUCCCCUAAAUCUAGUGGCGGUCUCGCUGUAGCUUCCUCUGCGUAGUAGCACACCUCGCACUGGGAAACAGCGCGGCCACGCCGUUAAACCCCCAACUUCUGAACGUUUGACCUCGGAUCAGGUAGGAAUACCCGCUGAACUUAAGCAUCUCAAUAAGCGGAGGA